UACGUAGAGGGCAAGCGUUGUCCGGAAUCGAUUGGCGUAAGCGCGCGUAGGCGGUCCGGUAAGUCCGCUGUGAAAGUCGGGGGCUCAACCCUCGGAUGCCGGUGGAUACUGUCGGGCUUGAGUGCGGAAGAGGCGAGUGGAAUUCCUGGUGUAGCGGUGAAAUGCGCAGAUAUCAGGAGGAACACCAAUUGCGAAGGCAGCUCGCUGGGACGUUACUGACGCUGAUGCGCGAAAGCGUGGGGAGCAAACAGG
rnacentral:rRNA from 1 species